AAAUCCGGGCAAAGAACCCUGAAGGAGUUGGUUGAAUGACAGGUCAAGGGUCUGAAGUGUUUGUACCCGGAAGAUUUUUUGAGGAAAUUCUCCCUGCAGGCCACAAUACGAUAGGCUCAGAGUUUUUAAGCUGGAAAAAUUCGCUAAGAAAGUAGGAACUGUGGUGGACAAGUAGUUGCCAUCGAGUUGAAUGACCGAUAGAUUAGUAAGACUCGUAAGCGAAGGGUCGAUAGGACCGGACAGAGAACAGAACCGCAUGCUCAACACCUCGAGCUUCGGCACUGAAGAA